UCCUGCAUGUCAUAGGCUUAUAUAUUUUUAUUUGUUUUAACCUUUAAUUAGCAGCAGGGUCCACAUGUCAUUUGGCUAUUUACCUAAAAGAAUAAAUAAAUCUAACUUAUUUAAAGAGGCCUACAUGUUAUCUACUACUAGACUAACUUAACACUAAUUGUAAAUCCUAAUCUAAACUAGUGCUAAAUAAACAAGGGCCGGCCACACACGGAUGUAGCACCGCCGGCCACACACACACGGUACACACACAACGCACACACACAUGCCUCACGGCCUUGGACAUGGCCAUGGCCAGCUCUAAUUGCAGCAGCCGUUUAGGAGCAGCAACGUGCAUCAGCGGCGGCAGCGGCGUUGGAGGCAUAAAGCAGCGGUAGCAAACAAUAGUUAAGCAUGAGCAGCACAGCCAUCAUCAAAUUAGCAGCAGAUCAGCAGCAGUAGGCGGGCGCAGCAGGGGAGCGCGGCAGCGGGCGCGCGCGGCGCACGGGGCGCGGGCAGCCAAGGCAACAGGCGAGUGGGUGGGGGCAUGGCCCGGACACGGCCAGGGAUGCGACUACAGGUGGACGAACAUGGCUGCGGGCAUGUAGCUUCGGGCAUGAUGGGACGAGCAGUCUACGGCGUCGGAUCAAAGGGGAAAACAGGGGAGAUGGAGGAGAAGCUCACUGCAAGCUCGAUGGCGAGGUCGGAGGUGGACCGGAGUGGCGGGAAUCGACGGCGGACGAUGACGAUGUACAAAAUGAAGAUGAUGGCGAUGGCGAGUGUACAGGGCGGCUCCACUCGAGUUGAUGCUCGGGAUGGACGAGGUCGAUAGCGACGGUCCUCCUGGACGCGGCCUGAAGUCUUGGGGAGGCCGGUGGCCGCGACUACCUUGACGACCAUGGCGAGCCGAUCUAGUGCCUGAAGGAACCAAAGGGGCCGAUGCAAGGAAAGGGAGGAAGAAGGACUAGGGUUGAGAUGGGAUCUAGAUGGCCUGGCCACGCUCUUAUCCAACAGAGGGGCCGGGGAGAUGGCUGCACGUGGCCGGGGGCGCCAUGGAUGCCCGCCACAGCUGUCUCCUCACUGUAGCGAGGUAGGGGAUGAGUCCCAGUUGGGCUAGGCCUGUUAUGUAGCGGUUGGGCCAAAUUCAAAUGAGUCUUUUCUUAUUCCUGUUUUGUAUUUUCUCAGAUGCUUCCAUUUUAUUUUUAGUUAGUAAAUGAUUUUUGUUACUCAUGAAACUUCACACAAAAAUUACACACAAUAUUUAUAGACCACAGACAAAGUCUCACAAUGUUUGGACAUGCAUAAGUAUUUGUUUUAUUUUGAAAAGGCCAAAAAUAUUUGUCGAUAGACCACUUUAAUAUUUUGCUAAGGAUUAAUUUCUGAGUCAGAUGAAGUGGGUUCCACAUGAAAAUUAUCAAUGGAAUUUAUAGAAUAUUGUGAACAUUAAAGAUUUAUUUUUUUGAAGAAAUAAAUAUUUUGGCUUUAUCUUAAAACUGAAUUUGAACCAAAUUGAGAGUGGGAUUAUUUUCUAAAUACAACUUAAUUAUGAUGAUCAUGAUGACAUGUCACAUUAGCAUGUGGUCACUGUAGCAUGACACUGGAGGUGUUACAAAUCUCCUCCACUACAAGAAAUCUCGUCCCGAGAUUUAAGAGGGGAAGUGAGGGGCAGAGAUUUGGUUACGAAAUUAUAACGAGUGUUCUCGAUCUUGGUUGCUCUUAUCGAAGAGGUCGAUCCAUUACGUUGAUGUCUUCAUUUAUGUGCUUUAGGUCAUCAUGAUAACGUCGGCAUCCUUUCUUCGGGAACUCCAUCGUACUUACGGUAGAAUAAGGCGUGGUUAUUCCGGGAGAACAGACCUCUGCAAGGUUGACUAUCUUGUAGCUAACAUCGGGGAAGGUGGCGGAAAGUAACUCUCGAACUGAAAUUGAGGAAAAUAUUGGGAGCAAAGUAAGAAGGUUCCAUGAGAAGUUUCAAGUGGGUAGGCAAUCGUUCGUUGCCUGAAACAGAGUGUGAAAGAGGUUGAGAGCAAUGGGAAUAAGUAUUGCGUCUGAUACCAGAAUUGACGAUCUCUCGGAACGUGGCUCGUGAAUUACAUACGAAGCCACACACAAGGAAUAACUUUGGGAAUAGGGGGUGUACAGGAGAGUCAGGUUUCGAUCUUGUGGGACUAUGGGUUAUGGGUAAACCAUCUGGGUUGAAAGUAGGAGGAGCGGUGACAUCUUGCAUGGUCAUGAUAGCAAGGCAUGUCAGAGGGUAGCCUGCCAGUUAUGUCGGCAACAACGUUGGUACCAAGGGCGAGGGACGAAGAGAACCAUCUUCCUGCUCGUUUGAACGAGGCGGACCAAUAGGCAAAGUUCUCGUCCAUUAGUGGUUACCGGAAUGUCAUCAACAAUAGCAACAGGGUCUUACCGACUUGUACACCUAGGUGUUUACAUAAGCAGAAGAAUAGUACUGCUUAGAUCAUAUAGAACACCAGAAUGGUUAAACAAAACAAUGGAAAGGAAAAAGGUGAUCUUCAGAUUAAACUGAACAAUGGAAAGGAAAAUAUGUUUAAACACAUAUUUCAGGGGUAUAUCUUUCUCAAGAACAAGCAGGGUAUGAUAUCCAAGACCGGAUAGAAGGUAGAAAACCACUUAGGUAAGGGGAGAGGAAUUUCAUGACGUUACCCAUACAGUGGUGUUUGGGUAAUUGAGCAGGAAACAUUUAGCAUUGGGCUUCAAAUGUUCUCGUUGAAAAUCGGAGUACCACAGGCAAGCUCCGAGAUAGCAUUGACAUGGUCACUGGGUAAAGAUCGGACUUUGGAUACACAAGGGAUCCAUCAGGAACAACUCAAAGAAUAAGUCUUACAAUUUACUCAUGGAAGAAUGACUAACCUUGCUAGAAAGGAAACUUAUAACAAUAGGCCCUCCGGGCAGGUGCGUUAGGAUGACAUCACCUUAUCGGGUUAAGGACCAAUGUUAUAACUCUUGGGAAUAUGUUCCAACCAUCAUACCUGACCAAGAUUCAGAUCCGAUUGGUGUCAGGAUACCUCAGACUUAGGGUGCCUGAGAACAAAAGGUGCAACACAAAUUUACGAGAUGACAUUGUAAGAUUCUUGAGAAAUGAACUAUAUGAACUAUGGAAGUGAGUUCCAAAACAAGAGUUCAUCAUUAAACCAAGGAGAGGAUGAGGAGGUGGCUGAAGGACUCAACGAUAAUUCAUUGAGAUUUCCAAACGAUGGAUUUCCACGAUUAUGUGAACAAGGAGAUAAAAUUUGAUAGAUCAAAUGAUAUAAUGAUGUAUGCUCAAGGAAAACAUACACAAUUAAUCAUUGGUUGAAAGGUGCACCCGAGAUAUGGGCUUAGGUAGUAUGAUCAAUGUUAGAAUGGUGAUUCAAUAAUCAAUAGUCUAAGAAUGAACUAUCGACCAUUAACUUCAAAGCAAUAGGGUUACUGGAAGUACAGAAUCCAAACGACACCGUUCACUUGUUGGUAUCCCGGUUAGAAUCAACAUGGGGACCAAGAAGGAAUGGUGAUGGUGAGGAGUAUCACUAUACCCAGAAUCCUUAAGAGGUGGAGCAACUCUCAGAACAUCCUUGACAUAAAAGAUGGUAAUACUUCAAGGUAGAACAUAAUACAAACUAGAUAGAAAGGAAAUCAAGAUACAACACAAAACAUGAACAAGUUUGUGUUGGGGGGAAGGCAAGAAUAUUGCCGAUGAUAACACAAAUCAUCCCGGGGCAAGGAUGGUAUUUCCUAUCAUGAAUUCGAUUGAUAUCCUGGAAGAGCUCAGAAUGUUGUUGAUGAUCACGACCCAAUUGUCGAGAGAUUUCAUGAAGGUGUAAUCGACCGGUGAUGACAUCGAGUCAAAUGAAUGGUGAAUCAAAAGGUUAUUGGAACCAAGGGUAUGACACAAACUCCAAACCAAGUUUGUUGUUCAUGGCGAAAUGACAUGAUGAGGAAGAUCGACGUAAUCUUAGCUCAUCGUCGAAAAUUGUGCUCUGGGAAGAAGGACCAGGUAGCACAGUUAAAAUCGGCACGAUAAUGAUAUAGCCGAUCGAGCUAGGAUUGACUUGAAGGAUUAUUAAACUCAUAAGCAACAAAAAUUACUUAGGGUUAUCGAACCGGAAUGCGGAAUCGGUUCACAUAUCAGUGUUCUCGGUUGAUGACAACCCAGAACCCAUGAAAAAUUGUAAUCAAUGAGAAAUAAUAGCUAAUGAAGACUCAUAAGAUGCAAUAUAGUUCUUAGAUGUUCUCGGGAUACUGGAGGGUAUUACUCGAAGGAAGAUCGACAUAGGGGUUGCGGAGAUGUAUUGAUCUGCAGAAGACAAGUGUUUUCACUUGCUUGAGAAAUGGGAUCAAGUAGAAAAUAUGGUCGGACCACGAUUGCAAAGGAUCAAUUCACCGAUACCAUAUGAUAUUAUAUCAAGGCAAUAGUUAUUAUUACAAGAAGCUUCCAUGAUAGGAUCUACAUCGUGUCCAUGCGCAUGAACGCAAAGUUCAAGGUCGACUCCCACUUCUUCAAUGCAUAACCUUUCAUUUUGCUUCUCGCUUUUGAUGAAGUUGUAGUGUAGAAAUUUUAUCUAGCAAAAUACUAGAAGAGUAUGACUCGUGAAAACUUUCGAGUUUACACAUAAUAAGGAAGGCAUAGGUUCAACCCGUCAGGGUAUCGUGGAAACAUAUACCACAAGCUUCAAUAGUAAAUACCACCAGCUCGAAAACAGAGCAUGGUUGAGAAAGCAGAUGAUACAAUUUACCAAAGGCUUUAUAUAUCCGUGGAAAGGCUCACAAGGUUACUUGAAUAUGAAGGACACGGUCGUAUAAUAAUCCAACAAGAGGUCUGGUGGUCUACAACGGAGCUGAUGUGAGUAUCGGUACUCUAUCAAAGGAAGAAGGAAUGCAUGUGCAUCAGAUUAUAGAAACAACUGACUAUCUCAAAGCUCAAAUGCAGAGGAAUUAUGAAUUCCAAGACAAGGGAUCAGAAUCAAUGCUCUGAUUAGGGAUGGAUAAGUUGAAUAGCCUUAAGGGUACAAUCAAUGGCAAUUUGAGUGGUUGAGAUCCAACUCAUGUCCGGAAUAACGUCUGAAUCGGAAGGAUAAAUUCUAGGGAACAACUGAUAAUUGUGUGCAUUCACACACAUGUUGAAUCAAAAGGAUCAGAAUAACAAUCACAAAGGUUUUUAUAGUAAAUUGCUAGACCAAUGGAAUUAAUCGGAAUGCAAGUAUGCAAGAAUUCCAAAAACAACAGGUUGUUGAGGAUUUUCGAAAGAUCAAAUAGUAUUUCGAAGUCUUUUGCGGAACACAAGAACAACUGGGAAUGAGUGGAUACUCGAUAGGUGUGAGGAAUUAUCCGUAGGGGUAUUUAUACGAUAAGGAACUACAAGGCAGUGGUACAAGGGAUUCUUAAAAGUCGGAGAGCAAUUCUAUGCAUCUUGUAACAACAAGAGAAACUCAGAGUAAUUGUAUGAACAACAAGUGUAUGUCGUUAUCCAUAUGGAUAUAUCGGUAGUAGGGAAUUGAAAAGCAGAGGGCACAAGGGUCUCGGGAAUGAUCGAAGAGUAUUUUCAAAAUCUUUUGGUGCAGCAGGCGACCAUCUGUAAUAAGGGGCUCUCCGGAAGGAAGUAGUUACAAGAACCUAGAGUCAGAGUUAGUAAAAUCAUUUAACCCGAAUAGAAGAGAGAUUAGAAUCCCAGAGUAUGGGUCGAGGAAUAAAAGAUCCUAAUACCACCCAAUGGCGACGUGGGCCCAUGGACCGCACAACCAUGUUAGUAAAACAUUUUUCACUGACUAGACUUGACUUCAGCCAAGGAGUGUGGAAGGGGGAUUCCUACAGGUAGUCGGCUCUGAUAUCAACUUGUGACGCCCCCGAUUCAAUCGUACACUAAUCAUACACGCAAACGUGUAUGAUCAAGAUCAGAGACUCACGGGAAGAUAUCACAACACAACUCUACAAAUAAAAUAAGUCAUACAAGCAUCAUAUUACAAGCUAGGGGCCUCGAGGGCUUGAAUACAAGUGCUCGAUCAUAGACGAGUCAGCGGAAGCAACAAUAUCUGAGUACAGACAUAAGUUAAACAAGUUUGCCUUAAAAAGGCUAGCACAAACUGGGAUACAGAUCGAAAGAGGCGCAGGCCUCCUGCCUGGGAUCCUCCUAAACUACUCAUGGUCGUCGUCAGCGGGCUGCACUUGUAGUAGGCACCUCUCGAGUAGUAGUAGUAGUCAUCAUCGACAGUGGUGUCUGGCUCCUGGGCUCCAUCGGCUGGUCGCAGCAAUCGGGUAUGGAAAGGGGGAAAAGAGGGAGCAAAGCAACCGUGAGUACUCAUCCAAAGUACUCGCAAGCAACGAGCUACACUACAUAUGUAUGCAUUGGUAUCAAAAUGGAAUAAGGGUAUCAUAUGUGGACUAAACUGCAGAAUGCCGGAAUAAGAGGGGGAUAGCUAGUCCUGUCGAAGAAUACGCUUCUGGCCACCUCCAUCUUGCAGCAUGUAGAAGAGAGUAGAUGGUAAGUUCACCAAGUAGCAUCGUGUAGCAUAAUCCUACCCGGCGAUCCUCCCCUUGUCGCCCUGUUGGAGAGCGAUCACCGGGUUAUAUCUGGCACUUGGAAGUGUGUGUUUUAUUAAGUAUCCGGUUCUAGUUGUCAUAAGGUUAAGGUACAACUCCAAGUCAUCCUGUUACCGAAGACAAUGGCUAUUCGUAUACAUUAACUUCCCUGCAGGGGUGCACCACAUUUCCUAACAUGCUCGAUCCCCUUUGUCCGGACACACUUUUCUGGGUCAUGCCCAGCCUCGGAAGAUCAACACGUCGCAGCCCUACCUAGGCACAACAAAGAGGUCAGCACGCCGGUCUAAAUCCUAUGGCGCAGGGGUCUAGGCCCAUCGCCCAUUGCACACCUGCACGUUGCGAACGCGGCCGGAAGCAGACCUAGCCCCCUUAAUACAAUAGCAGGCUUACGGUCCAAUCUAGCGCGCGCUGCUCAGUCGCUGACGUCAUGAAGGCUUCGACUGAUACCACGACGUCGAGUGCCCAUAACUGUCCCUGCGUAGAUGGUUAGUGCGUAUAGGCCAGUGGCCAGACUCAGAUCAAAUACCAAGAUCUCGUUAAACGUGUUAUCUUGAAAUAACCGCGAACGCCGACCAGGGCCAGGCUCAUCUCUCUUCUAGGUGGUCUCAACCUGCCUUGUCGCUUCGCCACAAAGAUCCACACAGAGGGCCGUCGGGAAAGUAUGUCCUUCCAGCCCCCAAUUCGUGAAUCAACCGCGGGUACUCCUCGAGCCAACCCGACUUUAGUCAUCACAUGUAUCAUGUAUAAAGUAUAUAGUAUAUACCCGUGAUCACCUCCCGAGUGAUCACGGCCCGAUAGUAUAGCAUGGCAGACGGACAAGAAUGUAGGGCCACUGAUGAUAAACUAGCAUCCUAUACUAAGAAUUAGGAUUGCAGGUAAAGGUAACAAUAGUAGUAGCAAGGACAGGCUAUGCAUUAGGAUAGGAUUAACGGGAAGCAGUAACAUGCUACACUACUCUAAUGCAAGAAGUAGAGAGAAGAGUAGGCGAUAUCUGGGAUCAAAGGGGGGGCUUGCCUGGUUGCUCCGGAAAGAGAGAGGGGGCGUCAACACCGUACUCGUACUGGGUAGCGGCCGCGUCGGUCUCGUAGUCUACCGGAGAGAAGAGGGGGAAGAAACAAUGAAUAUAAUGCAAACAGAAGCAUAACGUUGCAUGACAAGACAAGUAGCGGUGGUAGGGGUGUCCUAACGCGGUAUGAGGUGGUACCGGUGAAGGGGGAAACAUCCGGGAAAAUAUCCUCGGUGUUUCACGUUUUCGGAGAGAUGAACCGGAGGGGGAAUGUUGCGUGUUCUCUAUGCUAGGGAUGCGUGGCGGACGAACGGGUUGCGUAUUUGGAUUCUUCUCGUCGUUCUGAGCAAAUUUCAUGUACAAAGUUUUUUCAUCCGAAUUACGGUUUAUUUUAUAUGAAUUUUUGAAGUUUAUUGCAUUUUCAAAAUUUAUUUUAAUUCGUUUUUAAGGAAAUUGCGAAGUGUACACAGCAACAGCUUAGCUACAGUGGCUUACAAGUGGGGUCCAGUAGCUAGGUUGACCUAGUCAACAUUUGACUGGUCAAUACGUGAAUAGUAAAAGUGAAUCCUGCAUGUCAUAGGCUUAUAUAUUUUUAUUUGUUUUAACCUUUAAUUAGCAGCAGGGUCCACAUGUCAUUUGGCUAUUUACCUAAAAGAAUAAAUAAAUCUAACUUAUUUAAAGAGGCCUAUAUGUUAUCUACUACUAGACUAACUUAACACUAAUUGUAAAUCCUAAUCUAAACUAGUGCUAAAUAAACAAGGGCCGGCCACACACGGAUGUGGCACCGCCGGCCACACACACACGGUACACACACAACGCACACACACAUGCCUCACGGCCUUGGACAUGGCCAUGGCCAGCUCUAAUUGCAGCAGCCGUUUAGGAGCAGCAACGUGCAUCAGCGGCGGCGGCGGCGUUGGAGGCAUAAAGCAGCGGUAGCAAACAACAGUUAAGCAUGAGCAGCACAGCCAUCAGCAAAUUAGCAGC
rnacentral:lncRNA from 1 species